ACAGAGACAAGGUGCAGCUGGAGCCUCUUCGAGUCGCUCCUGUUAUGGAACACAUUGUGUUUUCAUGGCAUCAUCAUCUGCUUUGCCUGCUAGGAAGUAAUUUUUCAAAUUGUCCUGCUGAGACUGGUCCUGGUUUCCAGUAAUUCCUGCUUUCACUUUCACUCUGCUUCCAAUGCCUCAGGGCAGGGCACUCAAAAUCUGACAUAUAAGGGCUUCUUUUUCCACCGCCCUUGGCUGUGGAUCACCUACACUGAUGUGCUUGUGUUCAGAUCUUCUUUAAGUAUUUUGAGUUUGCUCCUCACUGUAAGCAGAGUUCCUUGAGGUGUAUUACAUUGAUAUGGAUGCUGUGAGUUCCUGGGUUGAGGUACAGUACAUACAUACAGAUGUUAUCAUUGCAGACCUGAAGGCUGAGUUUCUUGACUUCCAAUCCACCUACAACAUUCCUCAAAAAUUCUAUAGUACAACCAGCACUGCGUGAAAAACUUGUUGCCAGGGAAUGAGAUGGUAACAGGUCAUGGAACACCCCCUCAGGGUUUUGUUCAACGAGAUGCAAGUCUUCCUGUCAGUCUGUUUGCCUCUCAGAGCAUUUGCUAACCUUCACCGUAUCUUCUUAAGGGCUAUGGUAGUAUUCUUCAACAACUGAACAUCAGUUAUUGCACUUGCAAGCACAUUUUUACUCAUUUUGGUUU